rnacentral:lncRNA from 1 species
AGACGGAUGAUGGAACUUCUACUUGGAGUUGUGGUUGCUCAAAAGAAGCGUUGCUACUCUCAAGAUGCAGGAUAACCAUGUUUAGUGUGUGAGAUGGAUCACUAUAGAUCACUUUACCUAGUGAGAUGGUCAACGUUCUUAUGUUGAACAAAGAAAGCAAAGGCAUCAAAACAAGCUUUUAAGCUAAAGUUUUUAGAUUGAUUAAUCGUUAAACUGAAAAAUAAUCUGAUUACAAGAUAUUAAGAAACAGCAUGUACCUAAUGUUUAAGAAAGCCCU